CGAGACAGUUCGGUCUCCUAUCCGCUACGGGCGUGGAAACUUGAGGGUACGCUUCUCUAGUACGAGAGGACCGAGAAGCACGAACCUCUGGUGUACCAGUUGUUCUGCCAAGGGCAUUGCUGGGUAGCUACGUUCGGUGGGGAUAAGCGCUGAAAGCAUAUAAGCGCGAAGCUCCAUCCAAGAUUAGGUUUCAUAGACUCCAGGGAGACUACCUGGUUGAUAGGCGGCAGGUGUAAGGCCAGCAAUGGUUUCAGCCGAGCCGUACUAAUAAGUCAUUC
rnacentral:rRNA from 1 species